GUACUUCGCCUUUUUCUUAACCUUCCAUAACAACAACAAAUGUUAAAAUGUGUUUUUAUAUAUAUAUAGCAUUGAUAUUCAAUUUUUAUCCACAAAUUAGAUUAAAACAAAACUAUUUUUCUUUUUCAGUUCCUUUUAGAUUAAAAGAAAAAACAGUUUAUGUAUUAAUAUAUGCGCAUUAAAAUCCAUGUACUGCUGCGUCUUAAUUAGAAAUUUACAAAUUAUAAAUACCCUCCCAUGACUUUUCCUAUUUUUAUAAUAGUCCACCAGUAUAACAAUUUC
rnacentral:lncRNA from 1 species